UUGGAGGGCAAGUCUGGUGCCAGCAGCCGCGGUAAUUCCAGCUCCAAUAGCGUAUAUUAAAGUUGUUGCAGUUAAAAAGCUCGUAGUUGAAUUUCGGAAUUUGUCGGUUGGUCGGGCUUCACUGUCCGCACUGACCUGAUGGAUUCCUACCUUCUGAAUAACCAGCAUGCUAUUAAUUUAGUGCGUUGGGGAAGCAGAGCUAUUACCUUGAAAAAUUAGAGUGCUUAAAGCAGGCUUGUGCUUGAAUAGAUUAGCAUGGAAUAAUAAAAUAGGACGGCAUGGUUCUAUUUUGUUGGUUUCUAGGAUCACCGUAAUGAUUAAUAGGGAUAGUUGGGGGCAUUAGUAUUCAAUUGUCAGAGGUGAAAUUCUUGGAUUUAUUGAAGACUAACUUCUGCGAAAGCAUUUGCCAAGGAUGUUUUCAUUAAUCAAGAACGAAAGUUAGGGGAUCGAAGACGAUCAGAUACCGUCGUAGUCUUAACCAUAAACUAUGCCGACUAGGGAUCGGACGAUGUUAAUUUUUAAUGUACUC
rnacentral:rRNA from 1 species